UACCAAAACUCUUUUGUAUUUUAGUGGCCUCUCUGAGAAAACAAGCAAAUAAGUUAAAACUUUCAACAACGGAUCUCUUGGUUCUGGCAUCGAUGAAGAACGCAGCGAAAUGCGAUAAGUAAUGUGAAUUGCAGAAUUCAGUGAAUCAUCGAAUCUUUGAACGCACAUUGCGCCCGCCAGUACUCUGGCGGGCAUGCCUGUUCGAGCGUCAUUUCAACCCUCAAGCCCUGCUUGGUGUUGGGGUCCUACGGCUGCCGUAGGCCCUGAAAGCUAGUGGCGGGCUCGCUAUAACUCCGAGCGUAGUAGUAAAAUAUCUCGCUAGGGAGGUGUCGCGGGUUCCGGCCGUGAAAGCCCAUCUUUUACACAAGGUUGACCUCGGAUCAGGUAGGAAUACCCGCUGAACUUAAGCAUAUCAAUAAGCGGAGGAAAAGAAACCAACAGGGAUUGCCCCAGUAACGGCGAGUGAAGCGGCAACAGCUCAAAUUUGAAAUCUGGCUUCGGCCCGAGUUGUAAUUUGUAGAGGAUGCUUUUGGUGAGGUGCCUUCUGAGUUCCCUGGAACGGGACGCCAGAGAGGGUGAGAGCCCCGUAUAGUUGGACACCGAGCCUCUGUAAAGCUCCUUCGACGAGUCGAGUAGUUUGGGAAUGCUGCUCAAAAUGGGAGGUAUAUCUCUUCUAAAGCUAAAUACUGGCCAGAGACCGAUAGCGCACAAGUAGAGUGAUCGAAAGAUGAAAAGCACUUUGAAAAGAGGGUUAAAUAGUACGUGAAAUUGUUGAAAGGGAAGCGCUUGUGACCAGACUUGUGCCCGGCUGAUCAUCCAGUGUUCUCACUGGUGCACUCUGCCGGGCUCAGGCCAGCGUCGGUUCU
rnacentral:rRNA from 1 species